GCAAGUCGAACGGCAGCACGGGUGCUUGCACCUGGUGGCGAGUGGCGAACGGGUGAGUAAUACAUCGGAACAUGUCCUGUAGUGGGGGAUAGCCCGGCGAAAGCCGGAUUAAUACCGCAUACGAUCUACGGAUGAAAGCGGGGGACCUUCGGGCCUCGCGCUAUAGGGUUGGCCGAUGGCUGAUUAGCUAGUUGGUGGGGUAAAGGCCUACCAAGGCGACGAUCAGUAGCUGGUCUGAGAGGACGACCAGCCACACUGGGACUGAGACACGGCCCAGACUCCUACGGGAGGCAGCAGUGGGGAAUUUUGGACAAUGGGCGAAAGCCUGAUCCAGCAAUGCCGCGUGUGUGAAGAAGGCCUUCGGGUUGUAAAGCACUUUUGUCCGGAAAGAAAUCCUUGGUUCUAAUAUAGCCGGGGGAUGACGGUACCGGAAGAAUAAGCACCGGCUAACUACGUGCCAGCAGCCGCGGUAAUACGUAGGGUGCGAGCGUUAAUCGGAAUUACUGGGCGUAAAGCGUGCGCAGGCGGUUUGCUAAGACCGAUGUGAAAUCCCCGGGCUCAACCUGGGAACUGCAUUGGUGACUGGCAGGCUAGAGUAUGGCAGAGGGGGGUAGAAUUCCACGUGUAGCAGUGAAAUGCGUAGAGAUGUGGAGGAAUACCGAUGGCGAAGGCAGCCCCCUGGGCCAAUACUGACGCUCAUGC
rnacentral:rRNA from 1 species